ensembl:piRNA 21ur-5058 ncRNA
UCGUAAUCGUAUGUUUCAACU